AUUGAACGCUGGCGGCAUGCCUUACACACGCAAGUCGAACGGUAACAGGUCAAGCUGGCGAGUGGCGAACGGGUGAGUAAUAUAUCGGAACGUGCCCAGUCGUGGGGGAUAACGUAGCGAAAGCUGCGCUAAUACCGCAUACGAUCUGAGGAUGAAAGCGGGGGACUCGCAAGGGCCUCGCGCGAUUGGAGCGGCCGAUAUCAGAUUAGGUAGUUGGUGGGGUAAAAGCCCACCAAGCCGACGAUCUGUAGCUGGUCUGAGAGGACGACCAGCCACACUGGGACUGAGACACGGCCCAGACUCCUACGGGAGGCAGCAGUGGGGAAUUUUGGACAAUGGGCGCAAGCCUGAUCCAGCAAUGCCGCGUGCAGGAAGAAGGCCUUCGGGUUGUAAACUGCUUUUGUACGGAACGAAACGGCUCUCACUAAUACUGGGGGCUAAUGACGGUACCGUAAGAAUAAGCACCGGCUAACUACGUGCCAGCCGCCGCCGUAAUAC
rnacentral:rRNA from 1 species